rnacentral:tRNA from 1 species
GAGGGUAUAGCUCAGCAGUAGAGUGCGUGCUUAGCAUGCACAAGGUCCUGGGUUCAAUCCCCAGUGCCUCCA